rnacentral:miRNA from 1 species
CAAAGUGCUAACAGUGCAGGUAG